GACGAACGCUGGCGGCGUGCCUAAUACAUGCAAGUUGAGCGAUGAAGAUUGGUGCUUGCACCAAUUUGAAGAGCAGCGAACGGGUGAGUAACGCGUGGGGAAUCUGCCUUUGAGCGGGGGACAACAUUUGGAAACGAAUGCUAAUACCGCAUAACAACUUUAAACAUAAGUUUUAAGUUUGAAAGAUGCAAUUGCAUCACUCAAAGAUGAUCCCGCGUUGUAUUAGCUAGUUGGUGAGGUAAAGGCCCACCAAGGCGAUGAUACAUAGCCGACCUGAGAGGGGGAUCGGCCACAUUGGGACUGAGACACGGCCCAAACGCCUACGGGAGGCAGAAGUAGGGAAUCUUCGGCAAUGGACGAAAGUCUGACCGAGCAACGCCGCGUGAGGGAAGAAGGGUUUCGGAUCGUAAAACUCGGUUGGUAGAGAAGAACGUUGGUGAGAGUGGAAAGCUCAUCAAGUGACGGUAACUACCCAGAAAGGGACGGCUAACUACGUG
rnacentral:rRNA from 1 species